GGGGGCUAGCGUUGUUCGGAUUGACUGGGCGUAAAGGGCGCGUAGGCGGCCUGUUUAGUCAGGCGUGAAAUUCCCGGGCUUAACCUGGGGACUGCGCUUGAUACUGCUGGGCUUGAGGGUGGAAGAGGGUCGUGGAAUUCCCAGUGUAGAGGUGAAAUUCGUAGAUAUUGGGAAGAACACCGGUGGCGAAGGCGGCGACCUGGUCCAUUACUGACGCUGAGGCGCGACAGCGUGGGGAGCAAACAGGA
rnacentral:rRNA from 1 species